UAUGGGGUAGCUCAGUGGCUAGAGCACAACACUAUUAAUGUUGGGGUCAGGGGUUCGAGUCCCUUCCUCAUGG
rnacentral:tRNA from 1 species